rnacentral:rRNA from 1 species
GACGAACGCUGGCGGCGUGCUUAACACAUGCAAGUCGAACGGUGAAGCGCCUUCCUUUUUGGUGGGUGUGGAUGAGUGGCGAACGGGUGAGUAACACGUGAGUAACCUGCCCCCUUCUUCUGGAUAACCGCAUGAAAGUGUGGCUAAUACGGGAUAUUCUGGGUCUGUCGCAUGAUGGGUCUGGGAAAGAUAUUGUUUCGGUGGGGGAUGGGCUCGCGGCCUAUCAGCUUGUUGGUGGGGUGAUGGCCUACCAAGGCGGUGACGGGUAGCCGGCCUGAGAGGGUGGACGGUCACACUGGGACUGAGACACGGCCCAGACUCCUACGGGAGGCAGCAGUGGGGAAUAUUGCACAAUGGGCGCAAGCCUGAUGCAGCGACGCCGCGUGAGGGAUGGAGGCCUUCGGGUUGUGAACCUCUUUCGCCAGUGAAGCAUGCCUGCCUCGUUUGUGGGUGGGUUGACGGUAGCUGGAUAAGAAGCGCCGGCUAACUACGUG